rnacentral:misc_RNA from 1 species
GAUAAAGAACGUAGCGAAAUGCGAUACUUGGUGUGAAUUGCAGAAUCCCGUGAACCAUCGAGUCUUUGAACGCAAGUUGCGCCCGAAGCCAUUAGGCCGAGGGCACGCCUGCCUGGGCGUCACACGUCGUUGCCCCCCCAUCUACUCCUUCGGGAUUGCGGGGGGCGGAUGAUGGCCUCUCGUGCGCCUCGUCGCGCGGUUGGCCUAAAUGCCAAGUCCUCGGCGACGCACGCCACGACAAUCGGUGGUUGCGAAACCUCGGUUGCCUGUCGUGUGCGGUCGUCGCGCAUCGAGGGCUCGAAAAAAUUGCCGGGCUUCGGCUCGACUUUCAACGCGACCCCAGGUCAGGCGGGGUUACCCGCUGAAUUUAAGCAUAUCAAUAAGCGGAGGA